rnacentral:rRNA from 1 species
CCCUUAGAUGUUCUGGGCUGCACGCGCGCUACACUGAUGCGCUCAACGAGUUUAUGACCUUGCCCGGAAGGGUUGGGUAAUCUUUUCAAAACGCAUCGUGAUGGGGAUAGAUUAUUGCAAUUAUUAAUCUUCAACGAGGAAUUCCUAGUAAGCGCGAGUCAUCAGCUCGUGCUGAUUACGUCCCUGCCCUUUGUACACACCGCCCGUCGCUCCUACCGAUUGUGUGAUCCGGUGAAUAAUUCGGACUGCGGCAAUGUUCAGCUCCUGAAUGUUGCUGCGGAAAGUUUAGUGAACCUUAUCACUUAGAGGAAGGAGAAGUCGUAACA